rnacentral:rRNA from 1 species
CCUACGGGAGGCAGCAGUGGGGAAUAUUGGGCAAUGGACGCAAGUCUGACCCAGCAACGCCGCGGGAAGGAAGAAGGCUUUCGGGUUGUAAACUUCUGUUAAGGGGGAAGAGCAGAAGACGGUACCCCUUGAAUAAGCCACGGCUAACGACGUGCCAGCAGCCGCGGUAAUACGUAGGUGGCAAGCGUUGUCCGGAUUUACUGGGUGGAAAGGGCGUGCAGCCGGCGAUAAAAGUCAGAUGUGAAAUCCACGGGCUCAACCCGUGAACUGCAUUUGAAACUGUUUCCCUUGAGUGUCGGAGAGGUCAUCGGACUUCCUUGUGUAGCGGUGACAUGCGUAGAUAU